UGAUCCAAGUCCUCUCCUCCUCUCUGGCUUUCCCAUUUUCGGGUACCAUGAAGGCACUCCUAAGCACAUGCCUCCUAUGGGCCCUCUUUUCUACAGUGGCAUCACUGAUGUGUUACUCGUGUCAGAGCCUAACAGGGCCAUGUGCUUAUCCUGUACAUCAAACCUGUAUCGCUGGUCAAGAUUCCUGCCUUUCCACCGUUGGAAUAAGUUCAUUCCUGGGUGGUACCAAUCCCUCUUUCCAGGCUUGUGUCCCAUCAGCCCUUUGUCGAUCAGGUGCAUAUAGUUUAACUACGAGGAACGUGCACAGCCAAGGAGUAGUGACUUGUUGUAACACAAACCUUUGCAACC